rnacentral:rRNA from 1 species
UACGGGGGGAGCAAGCGUUGUUCGGGAUUUACUGGGCGUUAAAGGGCGCGUAGGCGGUCGUGACAAGUCACUUGUGAAAUCUCCGGGCUUAACUCGGAACGGUCAAGUGAUACUGUCGGGCUAGAGUACGGAAGAGGCGAGUGGAAUUCCCGGUGUGAGCGGUGAAAUGCGCAGAUAUCGGGAGGAACACCAAUUGCGAAGGCGAGCUCGCUGGGACGUCGACUGACGCUAAGGCGCGAAAAGCGUGGGGAGCGAACAGG